rnacentral:ribozyme from 1 species
CCAUCAACGAGUGCUGCUUCUCCUUCCGCAGGUCGGGAUGGUGGGGGGGUAUAUCCACCCCUGUUUCGGAGCACAAGUGCUCCUUGGAAAACUAAUUGGGAGAAAACAAAACAUAU